GGCUCGUUGGUCUAGGGGUAUGAUUUUCGCUUUGGGUGCGAGAGGUCCCGGGUUCGAAUCCCGGACGAGCCC
rfam:Octopus bimaculoides Scaffold8335_contig_5, whole genome shotgun sequence.